CCCUUAGAUGUUCUGGGCCGCACGCGCGCUACACUGACGAAUGCAACGAGCUUAUAACCUUGGCCGAAAGGUCUGGGUAAUCUCCAAAUUUCGUCGUGAUGGGGAUAGAUUAUUGCAAUUAUUAAUCUUCAACGAGGAAUGCCUAGUAAGCGCAAGUCAUCAGCUUGCGUUGAUUACGUCCCUGCCCUUUGUACACACCGCCCGUCGCUCCUACCGAUUGAAUGGUCCGGUGAAGCGUUCGGAACGUGGCCUUUGGACGGUUCGCCGUCUGUUGGCUGCGGGAAGUUCGUUAAACCUUAUCAUUUAGAGGAAGGAGAAGUCGUAACA
rnacentral:rRNA from 1 species